CCGCGAUUCGCCCUUCGGGGUGCACCAGGCGCGAAACCUUUGCCAUGCGCGAAAGCGUGACAGGGGAAUUCCGAGUGGUAGGGGGGUUUACCUCCCUAUCUUUUGGCCAAUCCAAACAAUUGGCAGAAUAAGAUCUGGGUAAGACCAGUGCCAGCCGCCGCGGUAAUACUGGCAGAGCAAGUGGUAUCCACGAAUAUUGGGUCUAAAGAGUCCGUAGCGGGCCUGUUAAGUCCACUGUGAAAUCUGGCGGCUCAACCGUCAGGCGUGCAGUGGAUACUGGCAGGCUUGGGAGUGGGGGAGGUCGGGAGUACUCACGGGGUAACGGUAAAAUGUUGUAAUCCUGUGAGGACUACCAGUGGCGAAGGCGCCCGACCAAAACACGUCCGACCGUGAGGGACGAAGGCUAGGAGAACGAAUCGGAUUAGAUACCCGAGUAGCCCUAGCAGUAAAUUAUGCAGACUGUGGUGUUGCGUCGACUUCGAGUCGGCGCAGUGCUGUAGCGUAGGUGUUAAGUCUGCCACCUGGGGAGUACGGCCGCAAGGUUGAAACUUAAAGGAAUUGGCGGGGGAGCAC
rnacentral:rRNA from 1 species